CACCUGCAUCAAAGUAUUUCACUGGGAUUAUUUCAGAUAAUUUAUCUGUUUCUAAUAACAAGAUCUCUGUCCGACUGUCAAACGAUAGUUAACUUUGAACGUGAAUCACUGAUUAGAAAUCCGUCUACACCAGUCUCCCACAUGAUGGAUCUUAAGGAUGUCGGAGUAAAAAUAUUCUGCUUCAUUUUCAUUUUCUCAAAUCACUCAAUGAAGGGACAUUCUUCAAACUUGAAGUGUUGUUUUCAAGUUUUGACAAACCUCUCGGUUUCCUAUCAUCUCAGUGAGCCACAUGGAGCCUCCUGUACACCAACAUGGUCUGCAAUGGAAUACGUUGUGGUUGACGAACAUGGAAAUGUGGAUAAGACGAAGGUAGUAUAUCAGGAACCCCAGAAGUUAAUCCUCAAACAAAACACGGAUGAUGUCAGAGGGGUCACAUACCGAAAGGACUGUCACCAGCAUGCUUACACUGCAAUUUGUCGUGGUAUGUUGGUUUCAUUUAAUAUAAUGGUUAUAAUGUUUUUAUUUCAUGAGUUGUCACAUUCAGCACAUUCAGGACUGCAACACAUCCAAGCAAUGUUUUACGGAUCGUGAAAUGGAGAAUCAAAAUCAACCGGAUUUGAAAUUGAGAAAAUAGUGACAUCACAAUUCUCUUCGAAACGUCCCUUUACAUGCUUCAUUAUCAUGUGUAACCAUAGAGGUGUGUUCUGAAUAACUCAUCUCCGUCUAUUAAACACAAACACUAUACUGCUGUUGGAU